AAUUUUGGCAAAAGUUGCAAUCAAAAAUUUCUUAUGAUUAUUUGUGUUUCAAGUCCCACUUGGAAUGACCAAAUUUAUGAUAAAGAUCACCAACUGACAAUCAUGCAAAACCAAAAUCACUACCUAAUUGUGAUACACUGUGCAAGAAGAAGUCAUUCAAAAGCAGAAAAAAAGAAACAGGAGUGCAUUAGAAUGGAAAUGCAUUUUAUGCAUAUUAAUAUUCUAUUUAAAAAAUAAAAAUAUUUGAUGCUAAAUUAAUCACAGAAAUGAUGCAACUUCUUAACUCUGUGAUGAUGGAAAAGUGAUGCAUCAGUAUAAUAGAUUCUACAGAACCUCAAUUUAUCUGGCUAGCUGUGGACAUGGUAGAUGACAGAAUUAUUUGUAAAGCGAUGCUCUCAGAGUCUCUUGUGACUAGGACAAUUACAAUGAUAAGCCCCUCAACACACCCCAUUCCAUCCCCCACAACCCCCCCCCCAAAAAAAAAAAAACAAAACCAACAAAAAAAAGUACCUUUUUUGCACUUAAAGAUAUAAAUCCUACUGUUUAC
rnacentral:lncRNA from 1 species